CCUACGGGUGGCAGCAGUGAGGAAUAUUGGUCAAUGGACGAGAGUCUGAACCAGCCAAGUAGCGUGAAGGAUGACUGCCCUAUGGGUUGUAAACUUCUUUUAUAUGGGAAUAAAAUGUUCCACGUGUGGGAUUUUGUAUGUACCAUAUGAAUAAGGAUCGGCUAACUCCGUGCCAGCAGCCGCGGUAAUACGGAGGAUCCGAGCGUUAUCCGGAUUUAUUGGGUUUAAAGGGAGAGUAGGUGGAUUGUUAAGUCAGUUGUGAAAGUUUGCGGCUCAACGGUAAAAUUGCAGUUGAAACUGGCAGUCUUGAGUACAGUAGAGGUGGGCGGAAUUCGUGGUGUAGCGGUGAAAUGCUUAGAUAUCACGAAGAACUCCGAUUGCGAAGGCAGUUCACUGGACUGCAACUGACACUGAGGCUCGAAAGUGUGGGUAUCAAACAGGAUUAGAUACCCUUGUAGUC
rnacentral:rRNA from 1 species